AUUAAUAGGUUAUCUUUACAUUAUUUGUCUGUUUUAAUUAUUUGCCUUUUUCUUGAGUCUUCAUGAAUAAUGGUACUGUGAGCCUGACCCUUUUAGAAAAAUGCUACACUACUGUAAUUAUAUUUUAGAGAUACAAUAUUAUGUGAAAAGUCACCUUGAUACUAUUCAGACAUAUUGUAUUAUGUCCGGGACGAAGAUCUUCGACGAAUGCAAACUUUCCUGACAUUACUCAUUACAUUUAGUGUAGCUAGGUUGGCUGUGUGCGUAUUUUUAGCUCCACUAGAUAAAUUAAAUUGGAUUGUGUUUUUUAUGUUUUUGCAUUUCCAGACCUUCAGGAUUUUCUGAAGUCCAAACUCUGCUUAUGUGGUAGCUUGAAAAUAUGUCUACAAAUUCUUUGGUAUUGCUUCCUGAAGAGGUUGAGUCUGAUUCCUCUCCCCUUGAGGGUGGGCUCUACUUAUGACUCACUUCUAACAAAUAGAACGUGACUAAGGUGAUGGUAUGUGACUUCCAAGACUAGGAGCUAGAAGUAUGGCCUCUCCUUGCUCUUCUUUGAUCACUCAUUCUCAGGGAAGCCAGCUGCCAUGUUGUGAGAACACUCAAAUAGCCCUAUGGGGAGGCCCACUCAGCAAGGCACAGAGGCCUCCUGCCGACAGCCAUGGAAGCAGAUCCAUCGGCCUCAGUCAAGCCUUCAGAUGACCGCAGCCUUGCCAAUGUCCUAACUACAAAAUCUCGAGAGACCGUGAGUUGGAAUCACCCAGGGAAAAGAUUAUAUAACCGAAAAUAUCAUAACGAAUGGAAGUAGGACACAGGAAAACCCCGUUGUCGAGAACAUUGCUGGUCCGAUAAUCAGAAGGUGCACUGUAACAGGACGCCCAGGAGAUUCGUGCGCAUGAUCAGGUCUGAGAAGCAGUGUUCGGAUUCAGGGGUCCUCAAAGUUGAAUGUUCAGCAGAAUCAGAAGAACGAAGGGUGACCUGUUGGACUGCAGAUCGCAGGGAGCACCCCCAGACUUUCUGAUCGAGGAGUGAUGCUAACUUCAUGGUGAGAAUGUGAAGACCUUUUGAAACGCCAAGCACCUGACCCAAGUCCCGUCACAGAAUACGCUCUUCAAAUUGGGGUCUGUAGACCAGCAGCACCAGCGUCCCCUGGGAGCUUGGAAGACCUGUGGUGUCUGCCCCCACCCCAGACCUGUGGCAGCAGACUCUGCAGCGUCACAAGAGCCUCAGCUGAGGAAGCUAAGCCCUCACAACCAAGGUGUGUGACUGGUGGAGCCAGCGGAAACCCAGGUCACUUGAUUCCAAAGCGCGACCUUUACCCACAACCGUGCAGCCCA